GGCGCGAUAACAGCUGUUGGCCGCCGUCGGUAAUUUUUGGCCGGGGAAUUAGGGGGCUUCUUCUAACUAGGAUUAGAUACCCUAUUAUUUUGAGUGUUAAUGUUUUUGCCUGAGUAGUAUUAGUUGUGUUCUUGAAACUUAAAGAAUUUGGCGGUAUCCUAUUCCGUUCAGAGGAAUCUGUCUCGUUAUCGAUAGUCCGCGUUGGACCUUACUUAGAGUUAUAUUUUUGGUUUGUAUACCGCCGUUUAUUGAUUAUCUUUUUAGAGUUCCUUAAUUUUCUGGUUUCUUUAAUUUGAUUUAUUGCAGGUCAAGGUGCAGCUUUUUCUAAGUGUAAUGAUGGAUUACAGUGUUAUGUGUUGUUUGGAUUGUUUAUUUUAAUAUUGACAUGAAAUUGGAUUUGGUUGUAAUGUCUUGUAGAUUGUUUUCAUGAUAGUUGGUUCUAGGAUAUGUACACAUUCGAACCUUGGCCCGCUC
rnacentral:rRNA from 1 species